rnacentral:rRNA from 1 species
GAUGAACGCUGGCGGCGUGCCUUAAGCAUGCAAGUCGAACGGGAUCAGUAGCAAUACUGGCCCAGUGGCAGACGGGUGAGUAACGCGUGGGAAUCUACCUCUUGGUGGGGGAUAGCUCGCCGAAAGGCGGGGUAAUACCGCAUAUGGUCUACGGAUCAAAGGCCUUAACCGGCCGCCGAGAGAGGAGCCUACGUCCCAUCAGCUAGUUGGUAGGGUAAUGGCCUACCAAGGCUACGACGGGUAGGGGUGUGAGAGCACGUCCCCCCACAAGGACACUGAGACACGGGUCCUACACCUACGGGAGGCAG